GGUCAGAUCACGCUGAAACACCGGUUCUCGUCCGAUCACCGAAGUUAAGCAACGUCGAACCUCGUCAGUACCUAGAUGGGUGAUCGCUUGGGAAUAUCAG